GACGAACGCUGGCGGCGUGCUUAACACAUGCAAGUCGAGCGACGCUCUUCCUUCGGGGCGCUGACGGAGCGGCGAACGGGUGAGUAACACGUGGGCAACCUGCCCCUAGCUCUGGGACAACACCGGGAAACCGGUGCUAAUACCGGAUACGACAUCGAGCGGCAUCUCUCGAUGUGGAAAGUUUUUUCGGCUAGGGAUGGGCCCGCGGCCUAUCAGCUUGUUGGUGGGGUAAUGGCCCACCAAGGCGACGACGGGUAGCCGGCCUGAGAGGGCGACCGGCCACACUGGGACUGAGACACGGCCCAGACUCCUACGGGAGACAGCAGUGGGGAAUAUUGCGCAAUGGGCGAAAGCCUGACGCAGCGACGCCGCGUGAGGGAUGACGGCCUUCGGGUUGUAAACCUCUUUCAGCAGGGACGAAUUCAGACGGUACCUGCAGAAGAAGCACCGGCCAACUACGUG
rnacentral:rRNA from 1 species